GUUACCAGUGCGGAGUACUGGCCAGUGGCGCACGGGUGAGUAACGCGUGGGAAUCUACCCGGUAGUGGGGGAUAACCCCUCGAAAGGGGGGCUAAUACCGCAUAAGUCCUACGGGGUAAAGAUGGCCUCUUAGAGGCUAUCGCUUCCGGAUGAGCCCGCGUCCUAUUAGCUAGUUGGUGAGGUAAUGGCUUACCAAGGCCACAAUGGGUAGCCGGUCUGAGAGGAUGAACGGCCACACUGGGACUGAGACACGGCCCAGACUCCUACGGGAGGCAGCAGUGGGGAAUUUUGCGCAAUGGGGGAAACCCUGACGCAGCAACGCCGCGUGGAUGAUGAAGGCCUUCGGGUCGUAAAGUCCUGUU
rnacentral:rRNA from 1 species